UACAGAGGGGGGCAAGCGUUGUUCGGAAUUACUGGGCGUAAAGGGCGCGUAGGCGGCCCGCUAAGUCGAACGUGAAAUCCCCGAGCUCAACUCGGGAACUGCGUCCGAUACUGGUGGGCUUGAAUCCGGGAGAGGGAUGCGGAAUUCCAGGUGUAGCGGUGAAAUGCGUAGAUAUCUGGAGGAACACCGGUGGCGAAGGCGGCAUCCUGGACCGGCAUUGACGCUGAGGCGCGAAAGCUAGGGGGAGCAAACGGGG
rnacentral:rRNA from 1 species